GUCCUCAUCGUCUAGUCUGGUUAGGACGUUACAUUGUGGUGGUAUUUCACGACAAUUUCUGUGGAGGCAGCUGUUCGAAUCAGCUUGGGGACA